rnacentral:lncRNA from 1 species
GUGAAGCAUCAGAGGGCCCUGAGAGGGGUGGGGUGGCACCGGGGUGGCUGUUGGCAGAGGGCAGAGGCUGUGGGUGAAAGGGAGCCGGCCUCCAGGAGGGACUGAUUAGAAAACACAGGACUCAGCGGCGCUUUUCUGGAGCCCUCGGCGACCCCAUUGGGGCCCUGGGAGAAGCUUCUACCUGAGUUCCUGACCUCUGCCCCCCACAGAGGCUGUUGCUGGCACCCACCUGGCCCCGAGCAGGGAGAGCGAGGGAGAGCGAGUAAGGGAAACAAUGGCCUCUCCUCCCUCCUGGGCCCUGUUGUUAGCUAUUCAAGCACCAGCUCCACUGGCUUUUCUGAACUUCUCUCUGGAUCCAGGAGUACUCAGGGUGCCCCGUGCUGGGUGGUAGCCUUUCCACAGCUGUGCCACCGGCUCCUGGAGAUGAUGGAGUUUUUUACCCUGUGGUGGUCACUUGUGUUUGCCCUUCUGCCAGAAGCUUCUCUGCCUUAGCUGGGGAGGGGCGGGGAGGGGAGGACACCAGCAAGUGUCCAGGAGACUGGAGGCCACUCCUCUGCUUGGCCAGCCCGAGGAGGGGGAAGAGCCAGUCUUGCCCCAGCGUCUGUCCCCUGCCCGGCCACCACAUAGGGCCUCAGAAGAAGGAAUCUGGCUCCCACACAUCAGCGUCAUUUCCCUCCUCCUGCGUCAGGCAGUGAAUUUACCAAGCAGCUAAUAUGCUCAGGGCCUAGCUGUUCUCACCUUUGGCUGAUCACUUUCCUUCCCUGUAUCCAUUCUCUCCGUCUGCAAAAUGAGAUCCAUAAAUCUCAGCGCCAAGGUAAGAGGCUUUUUCACAGCAGAGCUGGUGAAGGAAGAACAGCCAGGAGGCUUCACUCUCUGCGCAGCCACAGCCAGAGGGAGGCAGUGACGCGGUUGUCUCUAAUGGCAAAAACGUGCAGAGUGAGCCCCCGUCCUGAGCCCGCCCUCAUCUGCUUGCUGCCUCUCUGCACGGGGGGCUGCCUCAAGUCACGGAUUCCAGCCCAGGACAGGGACCCUCAGGUAAUUCUUCAGCACACUCAAGUCCGAGAGCCGCUGAUCCAGCCGGGUGAGCGCAUGUGAGCGCCCCACCUGUAGGAGGCAGCGUGCACAGGCGCCUUCAUUCUUGCUGAGGACUCUGGAUGGUGUGGCCUGUCUUUGGCUUGUUAGCAAACAUGGCCACGGGUUACAGUCGUCCCCAGAGCUAGUGUUCUUGAGCUUGUGACGUCACCUCAGCCUCAUCUUCUGAAUGCACCAUAAAUAUGCACUUGGUUGCUUUUGUUCUCAGGCGAUUUUGUGCAUAGCUUUGUGUUUCCCGACCAUCUUAGAAUAUCCUUGAGAGCAGACACGUUUCCUGUUUCUUUUGUUUCCUUUUUGCUCCGCAGGGUCUAAUGUGGGGGUUCUGUACACAGCUGGUACUGAACUGCUUGCUCAAGAAAAUGGUGACAACUUGGAGAGAGACUCUGAGAGGCUGUGGGAGUCCCUGGAGCUGUGGUGGG